GUUUAAUGUUGUUAUAGGUAAUGCAUCUUUAAUCCAUUAGGUGGCGACCUUAGUGUUUUCUAAGAGUGGAGUUGCAGAUAUUAAGAAGAACUUUAUACUGCCAGUUCCUAAGAGCAGUCACAUUGUGCUUGCAUGUACAGUCAAAAGUUCGAUGUUAAUAAAGCUCAGACUUUGAGGAAACUAAGUUGCUUUAUUGAAACAUCACAGGGGGAACUGCUGUCAAAUAAAUCAGUAAAUAAUUUGUAAAACUAACAAAUUAUUAUUUUUAUAUUAUGUUAAAUAUAUAUGAAUUAUAUGAAUAAAAGGUUAUAUAAUGAAUAAAUAUAAAAUGUUGCUUAUUUUAGAAGCCGCAAAGUUCCAAGGAACUGGAUCCAUGAAGAAAAUGCAGAAUACUCUAACAGAAGCAAUUGAGAAUUUAAAACACGACAUGUUCAAACAGGCAAAAGCAGAAGUGCUUAGGAAGUUCAGAGAUUUGGAGCAACAUAUAAAAGAUACUCUAGAGUCUGGGCUACAGAGGGCAAUACUUUUGCUGUCAGAAACAGACAAAAUCAAACUGGAUGUUCUUGAAGACAUUAAAGAGCUUGAGAAUCUGUUACAACAAAUGUGUGACUGAGCAAAGAGCAAGCAGUACAACUCACAUGGAACAAGGGACUUUGCAUUCUUCAGUUUAUGUUUUACCGCUUUAAUAUUAUAAUUUUGCAGAAUUUUCCAGAAUAUGUUCAAGUUUUUCACAAACAAUGGCACAACUCUUGUAUCAGUUGCUUAAUGUUAGAGCUAUCUGUAAUAGUAUAGUGUUUACAGAGACUGUCAGUGGAAACUAUAAUGCAUGGGUUAGUGUGUAGCUUCAGAGGAACUAUUAAGUAAACAUAGUUUAGGACAUAUGUGUAUGUUUUUUGAACACAAAACAGAUAAUCUAACAAUCUAACAGCUUUUCCUAAAAGGGCUUGGCUUGUGAGCAUUCCCCUAAAUCUAUUUCCUCUUUUGGGAUUACAUUAUUGUAUACAUUGUUUAGGAACGGGGAUUAAAUGUAUGUAAUAGUUCUGGAGUUUUAAAUGCUACCAAGAACGACUUAUACUAUAAUUGUCACACGUGGGCCUUGUUUUCUGUGUAUUUUUCCUUCUUUCCAUUGUGACCUAGUUUUGUCUGUUUAAUUAGUCAUUCUGUUCACCUGUGUUCAUGUUUUGUCCUCAGUGGUUAUUAUUUGCUUCUAUGUGUUGUGCUACCCCAGCUCCUCGAUGCCUUGUGGUUUCAUUUUUUGGAUUAUAUUAAAAGACUGUUUAUUGCAGUGGUUCUCAACCACAUUCCUGGAGGACCACCAACACUGCACAUUUUGCAUGUCUCCUUUGUCUGACACACCCAUUACAAGUCUGUGAGUUUCUACUAAUGAGAAGGUGACCUGAAUCAGGUGUGUUUGAUUGAGGAGACAGAGGACCAGAGUGUUCGCUGUCACCUUCCUGCUGAAAAGAAACAGACAAAUAAGUUCAAACCUCAUGGCCUAGUUCUGUUUCUCUCUGCCUGUGACCUGAUUCCAGUGAGAUGGCCAGUGAACGUGUGUGUUCUGACUGCUGUGUGCAGGAGAGGUGAGUGUGUGGCGCUCUGAGCUCACAGAAGUGUUUUCCCAUCUCACCACUGCUAUGCUCAUGUAAAACAGGCCACUGUCACAGCUCAAGCUAUGCUCAUUACUGUUUAUGUGUGUGUGCAUUCAUUAUGAUGUGUGUUUUAGUAUGUGAUCUCUGUGCAGUGCAUGCAACACAAUUUAGUUUGUUUUGGAAGCCAAGGCACUGCACACACUUGUAGUGAUGUAUAAAACAGCCGAGUGAUAUAUAAAACAUAUAUUUUAGGAAAUUAUGUAUGCGAAUGAAGACUUAGUACACAAUGUCUUUUUUUGUUUCUAUCUACUGUUUGGUUAAUUAAUUAGUUUUUUUUUUUUUUUUUUUUUUUAUUACUUCAGCAAAGUUCAGAAGGGAUGCAUUAAAUUGAUCAAUGUUGACAGUUAAGAAAUAACAAAAUUUAUUUCAAAUAAAUGCUGUUCUUUUCUACUUUAUAUUCAUCAAAGAAUCAUGAAGAAAAAAAAUCUACAAAAACAUUUUUAUUGAGAUUUACAUAUACAUUGAUAUAAUAAAAAGACGUGUAUUAAGCAUCAAAUCAAGAAUGAUUUCUGAAGGAUCAUGCAACAAUGAAGACUUGAGAAUAAAUUACAAUGAUUAAUAUUUUACAACACAAAAAGUUACGGUCACACUUUAUAUUAGGUGGCAUUAACUACUAUGCACUUUCAUCAAAAAAUAAGUACAAUGUACUUAUUGUAUUCAUAUUGUAUUGCAAUAUGGGGAAGUCGUGGCCUAAUGGUUAGAGAGUUUGACUCCUAACCCUAAGGUUGUGGGUUCGAGUCUCGGGCCGGCAAUACCACGACUGAGGUGCCCUUGAGCAAGGCACCAAACCCCCAACUGCUCCCCAGGUGAGCAUAAAUGGCUGUCCACUGCUCCAGGUGUGUCUUCACGGUGUGUGUGUGUUCACUGCUGUGUGUGUGCACUUUAGAUGGGUUAAAUGCAGAGCACGAAUUCUGAGUAUGGGUCACCAUACUUGGCUGUAUGUCAUGUCACUUUACACUUUUGCUGCUAUUGAGGUGGGAUACGUGUAAGGUUACGGACAGGUUUGGUGGUAUGGGUAGGUUUCAGGGUGGGUUAAGUUGUAAGGGAUGGGUCAACAGUGUAAUUAUAAAUGUACUUACAGAUGCAACUACAUAUAGGUAUUUUUAAAAAUAUAAGUACAGUGUACUUAUAUACACAAUAAGUGCAUUGUACCAAAUGAUUCAUUUAAAUGCAUGUACUAGUUAAAGCCACCUAAUAAAAAGUGGGAUCAAAGUUACUUAAAAUUCUGACCAUAUUUCAGAAUAUUACAAUUUUUACUAUAUUUCUGAUUCAAUAAAUUCAGCCCUGGUUAGGACCUUCUUUAGACUUGUGUCAAAAACAUUUUAAAAAUCUUACUGAGCCCAAACUUUUGAAUGGUAGUGUAGAUUGGAUAUUUAUUUGUGCAUUCACAUUUUCCCUAUUUUUACAUUUAGAUUAUUUUUGCUGUCAUCUAAAAAUAAAUAAAAUAAAUCAUUUUGUAACAGUGUCAAAAAAAUCUUUAGCAAAUCUUAAAAUGAUCUGUUUUCCAUACUGUACAUCAUAAAUGUUAGUUUAGUUUAUGUAGACAAAUCACAAGAGAAUUUUAAUAUUUGCCAUGUAUCAAUUGUUGGCCAUAACAUGAAAAUGAUAUUAUCAUUAGUUGGCUCUUCAGGACACUGUCAGGACUCUGAGAAAAAUAUAAAUAAAUAUAUAUAUAAAUAAAUAAAUUAAAAAAAAUGUUGAUUUUGCAUUUAAGCUGUUUGGUUGAAAUGAUGGUUCCUCUGAGUGAAACAAAACCAUCCUUUUCAGAGAAAAUGCUGACAAUUAUCAGGAUAUAAUUGUUUUAGUUAUAUCACCCGGCUCUAACCGUAUAUGCCCUUGAGAACCAUAAUCAGAAUAAAAAUAAGAUUAAACUCUUUUAAGAACCCAUCAGGGAUGCAGAGGUCCCCAGCAGGGACUGAAACUGUUUGAAUUUGAUAUUUUAGUUGCUGAAAGCCUGCUUUUGGUGAUUGUUUGCUUUUCAGUCAUGUACUGUAUGUUGAAAUCUAGCAUACUCUCAAUGGUUUUCAGGUCCACAGGGCCUGUGCAUAAGGAUUACUAUAAUGAUUAUGAUCCCAGAACCAGGGCAAACAUUCUCCUCGCACCUCUAGAGGGGACAAGCCAAGUGUAAUCCAAUAAAUAACACUGUGAAAAUCGAAGCAGACAGAAACAUCUAAAAUAAACCACCAAACACAGGUGAGAAAGACCAACAGACACUGAACAAAAUCGAACUCCUGCUUGAUUAAAUGUGAAAUGUUUUUCUUUUUUUACAGCAUUCGUUGAAAAAGAUGAAUGCAAGUCAAUUUCAUAUUUCCUCUCGGUUUUUCAUUCAAACUUGUCAUUUUCCUCCUCGCCAGUGAAUUGUCACCUACACAAUACAUUUACAUAUGACCUAUUUUAGGUUUGAUAAUGAAAGCAAAGUGAGUGUGUGAACAUGUGUGAGUGAAGGUGCUGCUGUGUGAAGUUGAAGAAUAUGUGUAAGCAUGUGUGUGAUGCUCUGGCAGUGUCUGGUCCUGUUCUGUUGUUAACAAAGAGCAUGUAAUUAGGAGUCUGUUUAUCUCUCUCCUCCACUCUCUCAUUCCUCUGUUAUAAUGUUGGGAAGGGUGUGAAAACAAGCUAAAAAUAAGAGCCUGAAAGAGGAAAGUCAGAGGCACAUUAAUUGUGCCGGUUAAAAACGGCAUACAAAAUAUAGAUUUAAAAAAAUGGAGGAGAUAGAGGGGAAAAAAAAUAUUCUUUAACAUUCUUUAACUUCAUCAUUCUACCUAAUGGAGAGCCACUAAGGCAAAGAACGAUUUUAUAUAUAUAUAUAUAUAUCUCCGAGCACCUUUCUGACCUACUUUCCUCUUUUGUUGUUCUCCUGCUAGUCUGUGUACUUCUGCUUGACAUCUUUGAAAAGGAAACUCAAACAUGCUUUCCACAGCCUCGGUGUAACUCACUUCCUCUCUGAUGAAGUCAAGGAGUCGGGAAAACAAGGCGAGUUUAACUGAGAACGAGACUGAGUGUUAUUCUCAGGGGUGGCUCUGCUUUUACACACUGGAAUGGAAUGUUAUGGAAGCCUGAUUUCACCUCAAUGUAAAAAAAUUUAAAAAUGUAAUUAUGAAGAGAUAAAUCCACUUUUCGAGAUACAGUAUGAAGUUGGAAGAUUCACAGUUUGUGAUAUUUUAAGUCACAAAAAAAGGAAACAUAGUAACAACUGGGAGAUAUAAAGUUUUUUUUUUUUUAUUUAACUAACUAAAACUAAACUAAAAACUAAAUCUAAAUUAAAAACNUCAUUCUUCAUUAACUUAAACAUUAACUAGAUCUUCAUACUUAAACAUUAACUGAAAUAAAACAUUAAAAAAUAGUGAACAUUUUGUUUUAAACUAGUUGCCAAAAAAGCAACAUUUCUAAUUUUUGUUUAGUUUAAU
rnacentral:lncRNA from 1 species